rnacentral:rRNA from 1 species
AACGAACGCUGGCGGCAGGCUUAACACAUGCAAGUCGAGCGCCCCGCAAGGGGAGCGGCAGACGGGUGAGUAACGCGUGGGAAUCUACCCAUCUCUACGGAAUAACGCAGGGAAACGUGUGCUAAUACCGUAUACGUCCUUCGGGAGAAAGAUUUAUCGGAGAUGGGUGAGCCCGCGUUGGAUUAGCUAGUUGGUGGGGUAAAGGCCUACCAAGGCGACGAUACAUAGCUGGGCUGAGAGGAUGAUCAGCCACACUGGGACUGAGACACGGCCCGGAAUCCUACGGGAGGCAGGAGUGGGGAAUAUUGGACAAUGGGCGAAAGCCUGAUCCAGCCAUGCCGCGUGAGUGAUGAAGGCCCUAGGGUUGUAAAGCUCUUUCACCGGUGAAGAUAAUGACGGUAACCGGAGAAGAAGCCCCGGCUAACUUCGUGCCAGCCGCCGCCGUAACAC